CGAGCACGCGCCUCUCGCCGGCCGGACGUGGUGGAAGAAGGACGGGAUACGAUCCCUCGUACUGUUCUUGUGUGUCUUUCUCUAACUUAAGUGGAAAUCGCGUGUGUUUCUGUUCAACAAACGUCGGGAAGCUUCGUAGCUAUACACGCAAUACACGCAAUACGUACGCAAUAGUGUAACGCGUAAAAAAAGAUGGACGGUGCACGCAACCUGUUUCUAUCUUCGCGUCGUUUGUGCGGUUUUAAAGUGUUUUGCGUUCGAACUUGCAUGUGCGUAUCAUUUUUUCUGAAACGGGACACCUUAUACCACAAUAUCUAUUGCUACCCUCAUCCUACAACGUGAAAUCUUAUUCCUAACAGGACAAUCAUCCCGGAUUACGAACGGAAAGCGCGACGAAUCCCUCUUUCAAGCUGCACCGUAUGGUACAACCUGAGCGACAUUUAACCGGAAACUUGAUAUCGGUGGACAUUCACCGCCGUGAGCUCUUUCAAUUGAUCGUGGCCUACACGACAAUGAGGAUCAACUACGUCGAACAGCAUGGAACAGCAACGAGACGGCGAUGCUGCUUCGGACGAACAGAUCGAUUCUCCAUCACGGAGGAGAAGGAUGAAGAACGACGAGGGAGGGGUUCCACGGAGAAAAAUCGAGGAAGAAUCGGAUAAAGGGACAACUCUAUGGAAAAUAGAUAAGUUGGAGGGCUGCGGAAACUGGAAGAAGAAGAGGAAGAAGAAGAAGAAGGUGGAUGCUCGCAAAGGGAAAAGACGAUGGGACGUAACGGGGUGGAGGAAGAAAAGCAGGGAAAGUUUCGGCGGUGUAUCUCGCCACGUCGUCGAGCUACUCUUCGGGUGAAUGGAGGAGGAGUGGAACGAGUACGAGACUCGACACGUCAGCCGCGCCUUCACUUAACGGAAUGGAAUUUGUCAACGGUUCCAUGGGACGUCGAAUAAAAUUCAAAUGGGCAGGGGUGGGUCAGUGAAUAUAUCGACCUACCUAAUCUUUCUUUAUUCAACUUGGAAUGUUUUACGUUGAAUCUCGUUUUCGCUUGAUUUCGAUCGAUUCGUCGUUGCGAAGAAAGAAGAAAGAAGAAAACUUGAUUUUCGUGACGAGAACGUGCCAUCCGCCGAUAAUUCAACGGUUAACAACGGUUGAUUAUGAAAGAGCUUUUUCUCAUCAAGGAAGAAGAAAACGUUAAUAUGGAAAUCUUACGAAUUUUCACGAAGUUUCCCUUUAAGCUGAAAAAUCAUUUUUCAAGUGAAUAUUAUUUUUUAUAAUUAAAUAGCCGUCUACGGGCCAGAUUAAAGGCUUUCUUCUUUGUGAGAUAAUCACUUUGAAAAGGUACGCGAAGCUUUACCAGUUAUCUAGAGGCUUCUACCGUCGGUUUUUCCGGGAACAGAAAUUUUAAUUAGCUCAAAAUUUGGAUAGUCUGAAAAAAAUUGAAAAUCAUAAGAUGAUACGUACCAUCAUUACUCGACCUCUGAUGCGAUUAAUCUCUGUUCGAGGCAAAAUGAAAAAUAGAGAAGAGAGAAUGCAGAAUAUCGAUGCAACAAUAUUAUAUUUUCGGAUCAUUUUUCGACUUCGCCUCCCUGUUCAUCGCUUUUCUCCUAACACGGUAAACUACUUUCGACUUUUUUUACCCGGGUCUGAAAGAAGAAGAAGAAGAAGAAGAAGAAGAAGCAGUUGAGAGAGGGUGGUCGGGAGCGGGUCCAGGAAGCUGCAUUCAAACCAAGGGAUAUAUAUCCCCGGCUCUUUGGCAUCGAGAAAACUAACGAGAAGGCAUUCCAGGACUUGGCUUAAGGAAGUUUAUUUUCUUAAUACCGAGGGCCGUGCAUCAGUCUUCCUGUUAGAGUCGCAAGUCGCUAUUCAGAAGCUUCAUUAGGAGAAGCACGCAUUCAGAUUGCUUGGUGAACUCGCGUGACCCCUGGCCAUUCCAAAGGUUUUAAGAGUAUCGGUGUCUUUUUUAGAAUUUCCUCUCCCUCUAUUUCUCUUUCUACUUUUUUUUUUCCUUUCGUUUCCCUCUUCUUACUCUUCUUCAACCGUUUCUUCCACCCCGUUCCUCUUUCGUACUCCGAGACCACUUUUUCAAUUUUAUUAUUAAGCGGAUGAAAGACGCGUUGUAAAAUUUACUCUGUCUGGAAAAUUUGUUUCUAUAACUUAAGAAAUUAUUAUAAACGGUAUCAAAAUCCUCUUUUUCGUCGAACAACCUUCGAAAAGUUCCGGAAAUAAAUCGAAGGUAGUCCAAUUAUUUUCUUUAUCCCUUUUAUUAUCUUAUCAAAUAAUUAAUUGACUCGUCGAUAACUUGUGCAAACGCUUACACCGUUAUGAGAAAGAAUAUUUCUUCUUCGACGCAAAGAUUUUCAUCCAUUCCCGUUUCAAAAAUCAAACGAAAGAACACGAGAGAUGCGUAGAUUACGCGAUAACGAGCGUUGUUCCAUCCGCUGCUAUGAAAAAACGCGGAAAACACUUAAUCCUACAAAGCGAUCGGAAUUUUUCCACGGAACGAAACGAACGAGAGGAGAGGCGUACAUAACGGCCGUCAACGUGGAAGGCGAGGCGCCGGUCAAAGCGACAUCCGCCCCAUUUAACGCUCACCUUAUUGACCUUAUGCUUAAUAUUAACGAGGCGACGCGGUCAUCCGGCUGGGCACAACACACGUGCACCUACGUGUACACGGGGUAUACAGAGAAACGUAACUAGCCUGAAGGCCGUUAACCUCCUCAUUUGCACCGCUUUGAUCCAAUCCUAUUUUCCACCCUUGCCGGCGCCUCCCCUCGCCCGAUCGAUCCUACAAAUUCUCCCUCUCCCUUCCCCCCCGCGGAUUUCGCGCUAACUAAUGUCCUCCCUCCCCCUCCCCCUCCCUCGCGCGAUAUAAAACGGAUCGGCUGAACAGGAUUGAUUUGCAUAAAUAAUUGCGCACAUAUCAUCAAGACACGAUCGAAACCGGCUAAUUAGUAGACCGUUCCGCGGGAACAUGGCCGCGUCAAGGUGAUUACCGAGGAAUACGUAUGCGAGAGUAUCGAUAGAGGAUUCCUCUCUCUCUCUCUCUCUCCACACGUGGAAAUGAAAUUAUAGGUACAGGACAUAGAGUUCAGUUGCGGCGGAGAUAUGCUCGAUACCUCUCACUCCGACUUUUCCUCCCGGUUUAUUAAUUAUGGAAAAUCGAAGGUGUACGUGAUUUCAACCUCGCGCGCGACACAAUAGCGGAAAAUAUAUACGUUGGAUGGGAAGAAGUCUCGAAGUUUUCUGUUUUUUAUUCUGUUUUGGAUUUAGUCCGAUAUAAUCGUAGUAAACGAUCUUUGUUAAGAGAAGGAUUAAUGAAUUUUUCGUGGAAAAAUUAUAACAGAAGAAGAAAGAAAUUAGAAUCGAAACGGAUUAUACAAAAAAUUUUUAUCUUCCCGCGUGAACCAGAUCCGCCCUCCUCUACGUCAAACUAAAAGGACGAAGGGCAAUGAACAAUGUUUCCGAUCAACCACGUUCCACGUACUAACCCCUAUAACGAGAUUACCCCCAGCCCCAACUUAAAUCUCGAUUCCAAACGAAAGUUGCAAGUUUUGCCAGUUUUCAAAUUCCUCGAUAGGAAAGACCAUCGAAAACGAUUAACGAUUCCUCGCAUUCUUUCGCGAUUCUCCCUCCUCCCCUUUCUCUCCCCCACUUUUUCUUCGAUAAUAAUCUCACGAGGUGGAAAUAAAACGCGAGCGGAAAAGAAACGAGAUGAAAAGAGGGGAAAAGAGAGAGAAGAAAAGAGAGGACAGCGUUUCAUUACGCGCGGAGACCGACAAUGCGAACUGGAAGGCGCAAAUUACCCCCGAUUCGUUUUAACGAUCGUCAACCGGACGAAUGGAGAAUGCUAUGUUACACUUGGCGAUCGUUAAAACUUAACGAAACCUUCUUUCGACCCAGCUGUGAAACGGGCCAGUGUGAUGGGGGAGAAGAGAAGAUAUAAUUGCAUUCUCUUGAGUCAUCGGAUCGGAUAACCAUUCGUAUCUGAUGAAUUUCAUGAGAGAGAUUCGAUUAAUAAUUGAUUAUCGAUUACGGAACGCAAGAAAAAUUGAAAAGAUAGAUCUUACAAAGUUUUCGUUGAUUCUCGAUCUUGGAAUUAAUUUUUGGAGAUAAAAUAAGAGAGGGAAAGGAAGGGUAUUGUGCAGUCUUCUCUCGUUCUUUUCGUCCUCCCCUUUUUUCCUUAGCGCGUUUCCACGACACGAACAAGGUAUUAUCCGUUCGCUUUUCCCUUCAAUGAAAUAAACAUGAGAUGGUCCUGAGUUGUUCGCCGUUAAAUUGGCUCGCUUCGCUUUUCGUAACUUUCAUACGAACUAAAUAGACGUUCGUAUGUUUGUCUAAUUGCCAAUCGAAUAGGAGAAAGUAAAUUAGGAAAGUGGAUAAAUGGGGGAGGGAAACCGGAGCGACUUCUUGGCUUCAAAGGUUCAAGGCUCUCGAUUCAAAAGUUUUUCCCUGCACGUGCAAGCUUUUUUCGUCUCCCCCUGCCAACCUAAGUUCUCGUUCGUGUUUAACAACGAGGGAGGAGGGAGCCAAGGAGAACACUGUUUCAUAAAGUAGUUGAAAUACACCGAUUUACUCGUAUCCAGGGAGCAGCUACCUAAUGAAAGAAGGAAAAGGACGCAGCCCCCCGAAACGUUGCAAACUCCGUUCCAUUUUCAUUUCGGUAGUCGCACAGCGUUCCGGACAAUUAAGGGAGCGGCAUGGAUGUAAAGUUUCCGCGACUGUAAAUUGAAUACAUCAGCUGGGUACUCUGGCGCAGUUGGAAGUCGAAACUUUGAAGGAGGCGGCGCAACCGUGAUACCACACCGUUGUUCCGUCAUUACGAAACGAGCGCCUGGAAUAUGCAAUAAAUUGGACAUAGUUUAGAUGCGAGUUGGAAAAUAAUCGUGGCGAAUCGUGUUCAACGCCGGAUUGUGUUCCAGCGACCGGAUUCGAGGGAAGGAAGACGUACGAUGAGAAAGAAAGAGAGAAAGAGAGAGAGAGUCACUACAACGAAUCCCGUUGGAAUUAAGAGUUUGGAGAAGAGUCGAUGCAUGAAAGAGACAUGGAAAGAUUUUUAUUCCUCGGCUCGGUAAGCUCGGAGGAGAAUUGAGGCGGCGGCGUUGCGCGUGAAAGAGGAUGUGACGAGAGUGGAGGAGGAUCUUUUUUUUUUUUUUUUUUUUUUUCAAAUUAAAACUUGGCUUUGGUUUGGUCCGUUUAUUCGUAUACGCACGGUAAGAUUAAUCAUAGCCGCGAACAGAUCUCGUAUCUUUAUUAAUGAUACGAGUUGUUGUUUUCAACUCGUAUGCAACUUGAUAUUAACGAUAUUUUUCAUCCUUCUUUUGAUCGAUGAAAAUAUUUCAAGAGGAAAAACAAAUUUUCAUCCUAUUGUAUGCACAACCAUAUUGAACGCGUAAAUUCGCGAUAAUUAAACUACGGAUAUUUAUGCAUUUAUGGAAAAAUGUAAAAAUGUAACGAUGCGCGAAAUGCAUACGAUUCGUGAAAAAUACACACAUCCGGUUGUAUGAAAUAAUUGUUAAUAUCUGAUGGAUGAAAUAAAUAUUUAAUUUAGGCUUUA
rnacentral:lncRNA from 1 species